rnacentral:rRNA from 1 species
GAUGAACGCUGGCGGCGUGCCUAAUACAUGCAAGUCGAGCGAACGGACGAGAAGCUUGCUUCUCUGAUGUUAGCGGCGGACGGGUGAGUAACACGUGGAUAACCUACCUAUAAGACUGGGAUAACUUCGGGAAACCGGAGCUAAUACCGGAUGAUAUUUUGAACCGCAUGGUUCAAAAGUGAAAGACGGUCUUGCUGUCACUUAUAGAUGGAUCCGCGCUGCAUUAGCUAGUUGGUAAGGUAACGGCUUACCAAGGAAACGAUGCAUAGCCGACCUGAGAGGGUGAUCGGCCACACUGGAACUGAGACACGGUCCAGACUCCUACGGGAGGCAGCAGUAGGGAAUCUUCCGCAAUGGGCGAAAGCCUGACGGAGCAACGCCGCGUGAGUGAUGAAGGUCUUCGGAUCGUAAAACUCUGCUAUUAGGGAAGAACAUAUGUGUAAGUAACUGUGCACAUCUUGACGGUACCUAAUCAGAAAGCCACGGCUAACUACGUG